CUAGAAAAGCAGGAGUUGAACCUGUGCUAGAAAACCCAAAAUUUCCUGUACUCCCAUUAUACUACUUCCUA
rnacentral:tRNA from 1 species